UCACAAUGUUUUCUUGCUUUUCAGAUGUGCCAGUUAACUGUAUUAGUCUAUUCUCACAUUGCUAUGAAGAAAUACCAUAGACUGGGUAAUCUGUAAAGGAAAGAGGUUUGAUUGACUCACAGUUCUGCAUUGCUGGAUAGGCCCCAGGAAACUUACGAUCAUGGCGGAAGGCAAAGGAGAAACAGGCACCUUCUUCACAGGGCAUCAGGAUGGAUCGCAGGGGCUCAAAGUCCUGGGAGAGAUGGACACAUCAACCAAUAGUAAUAGCAGGUGUGAUGGGUGUAUAUGGAGAUAUGCCCAGGGUUACGAAGAGCCUGGAAAAUAGAUGACCAACCAGCAGGCUGGGUUAGGGUGUGGUUUCAGAGAGGAAGCACUGGACUAAGACUUGAAGAAUGCAUUGGAAGAGCAAAUCAGGCAGAAAAGAGGACAGAGUCAUUUUGCUCAGAAGAAACAGCAUGUGCAAAUGUGCCACAACCAUUCAAAGCAAGUUGCUGCUUAAGUCUUGCCCACAACUUUUCAUCUGAAAAGUGGAGUAGCUGAAGCAGCCAAUGCUGGUGGUUAUAAUUCUUGAGGAUGCAACAGUAAGAACGGAAAGGAAAUAACCCCCGAAGCCUUUGCAACUAAGGACAUGUAUCCUUCAGACAAGUGUUUACUGGGCAACUUCUUCGUGCUGUAAUUGAGUGUGGCCGAUUGCUCACAAAGAUGUUUGCAAAAUCCCUCCUGUCCCCUAACUCACUUCUCCUUGCAGUGUCACUCUGCCAACUUCUCCUGUCGAUUGGUGAAGACUGUUUCUCCUCCCCCUUGAAUAUGGGCUGGGCUUGUAACUUGCUUGACCAAUAGAAUGCAGAGAAAUGAAAUGCAGCCUUCAACAUUCAAGGCUAUGCUCAAGGAGUCUAACCCUGUGGAUAUGCUGUUGUCAAAUGAGGGAGCUUCGAUUAGCCUGUUGAAGACACACAGACGACCCGACAGGCAAUACCAACAUUCAGAUAUGCAAGUUAUGCUGUCUUAGACCAUGCUGCCCAGGUGAACUUUUAGACGACUGCAAUUUGUGAGUGACUCUAGGCAAGACCAGAAGAAACUUCUAGCUAAAUCUAAACCAAAUGCCAACUCAGAAUUGUAAGCAAAUAAAACGGUUGUUGUUUAAAGACACUAACUUUUGGGGUGUUUUGCCACACCUCAAUACAUAACUGUUACACUAAUUAUUUUUCAUUGUGAAAUCUUCAGCGUCUUAUUCUGUAAUCAAACCAGAAUGUCCUUGCCUUCUUAGCACUUUGCCACAGUCCAGUGGGGUGAAUAGACAGCAGCUGCUCAUUUAUGCUCAUGCUCAUGUUCAUAAUUUGCAUUUGGACUAAAAGGAGCUCUGUUCUCCAGGACAGAACUAUUCUAAAGCUCUUCAGGAACAGGAACAGGAGUCCAUCACAGACAGCGAAAUCAAAAGCGCCCUACAUAGAGGCAUCCAGACUGAGAGCUGAAAGGGAUCUGGGAAAUCAUUUAGUCUCACUCCCUCAUUUUCCAUUCAGACCACAGGGAUGAAAGAACUUGCUGAAGUUCUCACAGCUCUGUAGUGGCACAGUCAGAACAAGGAUCCCAAUCUCCUAACUACUAACAUAAAAUGCUUUCAGCAUGCAAGUUGAGCAUACAAUGGGACAGUUUAAAUUUAAAUGGUGUUUUGAGCAAGGGGAGAGUCUAAUUAAUUACUUCAAAGUAUAAUUUUGGAGUCACCAGAAAGGCGUUAAAGACAAAAAAAUGCUUUGGAACCUAGGUGCUUCAUAUCUGAAAUUGGGGCAGGUACAGGUGUAUUCCUACCACUAAAGGGUCAUUAGUUGGUUGGGUAGUCCUUUAGUGUUCUUGGUACUAAGCACAAAACAUGGGUAAGAUGGUUCAAGGCUGGUUGUGGUGGCUCAUGCCUAUAGCCCCAGCAUUUUAGGAGGCCAAGGCUGGAGGAUAGCUUGAGCCCAGGAAUUCGAGACAAGCCUGGGCAAUAUCGCAAGACCUUGUCUCUACAAAUAAUAAUUUCUUAAGAAUUGGCUGGGCAUGGUGGCACACACCUGUAGGCUAUUUGAGAGGUUGAGGUGGGAGGAUUGCUUUAGUGUGGGAGGCUGAGGCUGCAAUGAGGUGAUCACACUAUGGUACUACAGCCUGAGAAACAGUGUAAGAUCCUGCCUCAAAAAAAAAAAGUUUAUGUUCUCAAAGUGCUCAUAAUCUAGUGGUAGUACAGUAUUUGAGAUAUUAGAGCAGUUUCUCCUCCUUUUGCAACUAAGGACAUGUAUCUUUAAAGCAGAAGGAAUGGCAGAGUCGUGUAAUAAACCCUCAAGUACCAUUACUUAGCUUCAACAACUAUCGACACUCUACUGUUCUUGUUUCAUUUAUGCCUCACCUCCUUCCCAUCCCCCACUUGAAUAUUCUCAUCCUUUUUUUUUACAGUUUUUAAGAUAACAAUUACAUAACUGAAAUGCACAAAUCUUAGCUGUACAGUUUUGACAUAUGGAUACACCUGUGUAACCAAUGACUGUAUCACAACAUAGAGCAUUUCAUCUCCCCAGCAAGAUCCAUGUGUCUUUUCCUAGUUAAUGCCUCUUUAUUUCUGAGAUGGUUAUUGCUCUGCUUUUGUUUUUCAUGUUAGGCUAGUCUUGCCUGUUCUAGAAUUUCAUAUAACUGAGAACAUACAGAAUGUACUCACUAGUAGUGUCUGACUUUUUCACAAAGGAUAAUGUCUGUGGUAUUCAUUCAUGCUGUUGUAUGCAUCAGUAGUUUAUUUUCUUUUUACUAUUAAGUAGUGUUCUAAGGACUAUUUUAAUAGCAUCCCACAAAGGGGGUAUGAUAUGUUCUAUUUACAUUAUUAUUUGGUUUGUAAUAUUUUAUAUUUUCUCUUGUGAUUUCUCCUUUCACUCAUGAAUUAUUAUAAUAAAUUUUUUAAAGUGUAUUAUAA
rnacentral:lncRNA from 1 species